CUUGUGUGUGUUUUUGUUUAACUGGUAACCAAAUACUAAAAGUUAAGAAAAAAAAAAAAAGCCUCCUUUCUGAUACAGAACUCAUUGCUCAGCAUGAGUUUUGAAAUGCAUGGUAAAAGAUGUGGU